rnacentral:rRNA from 1 species
UGUCCGUACUGGCGUGGUGGGUUCUUACCUUCUGAAUAACCAGCAUGCCAUUCACUUGGUGCGUUGGGGAAGCAGGAAUAUUACCUUGAAAAAAUUAGAGUGCUCAAAGCAGGCUAGUGCCUGAAUACAUUAGCAUGGAAUAAUAAAAUAGGACGGCAUGGUUCUAUUUUGUUGGUUUCUAGGAUCACCGUAAUGAUUAAUAGGGAUAGUUGGGGGCAUUAGUAUUCAAUUGUCAGAGGUGAAAUUCUUGGAUUUAUUGAAGACUAACUUCUGCGAAAGCAUUUGCCAAGGAUGUUUUCAUUAAUCAAGAACGAAAGUUAGGGGAUCGAAGACGAUCAGAUACCGUCGUAGUCUUAACCAUAAACUAUGCCGACUAGGGAUCGGACGAUGUUAAUUUUUUAAUGACUCGUUCGGCGCCUUACG